rnacentral:tRNA from 1 species
CUGGUUAGCUCAGUUGGUGGAACACUCCACUGAAAAUGAAGAGGUCCCUGGUACGAUACCAGGACCAG